CGCGUAGGCGGCCUUCUAAGUCAGACGUGAAAUCCCCCGGCUUAACCUGGGAACUGCGUCUGAUACUGGGAGGCUAGAGUAUGGGAGAGGGAUGUAGAAUUCCAGGUGUAGCGGUGAAAUGCGUAGAUAUCUGGAGGAAUACCGGUGGCGAAGGCGGCAUCCUGGACCAUUACUGACGCUGAGGCGCGAAAGCUAGGGAGCAAACG
rnacentral:rRNA from 1 species